rnacentral:rRNA from 1 species
GAUGAACGCUGGCGGCGUGCCUAAUACAUGCAAGUCGAACGCUGGAAAUCUAGCUUGCUAGAUUGAAGGAGUGGCGAACGGGUGAGUAAUACAUAAGCAACCUACCCACGAAGACUGGGAUAAUCUCUGGAAACGGGGACUAAUACCGGAUAGGUAAUCGGAAGGCCUCUUCUGAUUAUUAAAGGUUAAAAACACUGGUGGAUGGGCUUAUGGCGCAUUAGUUAGUUGGUGAGGUAACGGCCCACCAAGACGAUGAUGCGUAGCCGGCCUGAGAGGGUGAACGGCCACAUUGGGACUGAGACACGGCCCAGACUCCUACGGGAGGCAGCAGUAGGGAAUUUUCGGCAAUGGGGGAAACCCUGACCGAGCAACGCCGCGUGAGUGAGGACGGCCUUCGGGUUGUAAAGCUCUGUUGUAAGGGAAGAACGGUAGAUAGAGAAUAUCUAAAUGACGGUACCUUACCAGAAAGCCACGGCUAACUACGUG